UACGGAGGAUGCGAGCGUUAUCCGGAUUUAUUGGGUUUAAAGGGUGCGCAGGCGGAGGUGCAAGUCAGUGGUCAAAUUGCGGGGCUCAACCCCGUACUGCCGUUGAAACUGGCAGUCUCGAGUUGGAGAGAAGUAUGCGGAAUGCGUGGUGUAGCGGUGAAAUGCAUAGAUAUCACGCAGAACUCCGAUUGCGAAGGCAGCAUACCGGCGCGCAACUGACGCUCAUGCACGAAAGCGUGGGUAUCGAACAGG
rnacentral:rRNA from 1 species